AGGGGACAGGAGUUGUUCCUAAGCAGAGAAACCGGAUACAGGGGACAGGAGUCGUUCCUAAGCAGAGACACGGGAUACAGGGGACAGGAGUCGUUCCUAAGCAGAGAAACCGGAUACAGGGGACAGGAGUCGUUCCUAAGCAGAGACACCGGGGACAGGAGUUGUUCCUAAGCAGAGACACCGGAUACAGGGGACAGGAGUCGUUCCUAAGCAGAGACACGGGAUACAGGGGACAGGAGUCGGCGGGAGUCAUUCCUAAUCAGAGACACAGGAUACAGGGGACAGGAAUGUCUGUUCUCUCAGAUUAUCUGAUCAGAGUCUUGAUGGCUUUGUGUUUUACUGUCUUAAUCCUAAUAACCAUAAAGCCCCACUAUAGUCUUCAUUAUGGAAUUGGCAUGGUCUUAAUUAGGAUUAAGGCUAAUAGUAAGGCAAUUUAUCUUCAGUAGUCUGCUUAACAUUGUCGUAGCCAGCCAGACAGUUCAUGUUGUGGCGCUGGUUGAGGCUAAAGAGACGAAGGGAGAAGGAAUGAGAAGGGAGGGGUUGAACCUGGUCAACUUCCACACUCUCAGUGACUCCCCACUGGGCACAGACAUCAAUUUAAGGUCUAUUCCACAUUGGUGGGCCUCUCUGGUGUCCCUGCACUAUGCAACAGGAUCAUGACGUUUACCUUUAUACACAGAUAGAUAUCCUCGUACAGAUAAGAGACAGGGGUUAUCGUGAUGACUCCCAGGCAUACAAUAAUCUGAUGUUGACAUCACAUGCAGUCUUCUCUUUGCAGAGCGGCAGGGUAGCCUAGUGGUUAGAGCGUUGGACUAAUAACCGGAAGGUUGCAAGUUCAAAACCCCCGAGCUGACAAGGUACAAAUCUGUCGUUCUGCCCCUGAACAGGCAGUUAACCCAUUGUUCCUAGGCCGUCAUUGUAAAUAAGAAUUUGUUCUUAACUGACUUGCCUAGUUAAAUAAAGAAAAAAUAAAUUUGCAACCACAAAGAAAAAACAGCAUCUCUUAUUGCCCAGGUAGUACCUCCCUGUUUUUUGAGUUUGUUUGCUUCCAUUCGGCGCCUAGUGAUGAAUACGACCCGAAGGAAUGAGUGUAACAGCAGAACGGAUCCCCAUUGCAGUCAAGUUGAAAUCCCCAGCAGCACAUGUUGCUUGUCUGAAACAAAGCCCAUUAAAAAGACCAGUACAAAAAAAACACUAUACUGACAAGAAAUUGACCUCAGAACUCUGAGCUUUACCUUAAGUAACCUGAGAUGUUUGUCAGUUUCCUGGUUUAUAGUUACAGCAUAUAGGGACCUUCGAGGAACUGAGCGCCACUGGGAUCGUUCCAGUCAUUGCCGAUGGAAACAAGACAGUAGACAGAAAACAUCCAUGUGAUAUGGUGGCCCAUGAGGCACACCAAGGAGGUAAGGCAGUUGAACUGAGAAAGCAGGAGGAGGGAAAGGAGGACGGAGGGAGGAGUUUGAGGGGGAGGAGGAGGAGGAGAGGGGCUCUGCGACGCUUUUGUCAAAGAGCCUGUGAUGUGUGUGGUUUUCAGCAUUCCCGGCUAAGUGAGAGAGUGAUUUGCACAGCUGAUUGUUGUUGAUCAAAGGCUCCAUUGAGAGGGCUGAGUGUAGUGGGCAAUAUGCAUUUUAAUGGAUUUUAAAACAUGGAAAUGGCAUUUCAGGGUUGUGGUGGAGAGCAGUGACAUUAGGGCUUCAACUGUCUGUCUAAUGAAAGGGAGGGAGGGGACUGCAGUGCUUUUAGAAGAAAUGUCUACAUCGCAACGUCACAACUCUGUGACCAUGGAAAUGGCCCUGUUCAGUGGAAUGAAACCCUAAGACUGUACAAUGCGCUUGUGAGAAGCAUGGAUGCUGUAGUUAGCUUUUGUAUUAUCUAUGACUGUUGCAACAACAUUUUAAAAUCUUAUCCAGAGCGACUUACAGUAAUAGUGAGUUCAUAUAUUUUCAUACUAUUUUCAUACUGUUCCCCCGUCGUCCCCCAGUCAUACAUGUAGUUGACUGGGUCAGAAGUUUACAUGCACUUAGGUUGGAGUCAUUAAAACUAGUUUUUCAACCACUCCACACAUUUCUUGUUAACUUAUUAACUAACUAUAGUUUUGGCAAGUCGGUUAAGACAUCUACUUUGUGCAUGAUGCAAGUCAUAUUUCCAACAAUUGUUUACAGACAGAUUAUUUCACUUAUAAUUCACUGUAUCCCAAUUCCAGUGGGUCAGAAGUUUACAUACACUAAGUUGACUGCGCCUUUAAACAGCUUGGAAAUAUUCAGAAAAUGAUGUCAUUGCUUUAAGAAGCUUCUGAUAGUCUAAUUGAAAUAAUUGGAGUCAAUUGGAGGUGUACCUGUGGAUGUAUUUCAAGGCCUACCUUCAAACUCGGUGCCUCUUUGCUUGACAUCAUGGGAAAAUCUAAAGAAAUCAGCCAAGACAUCAGAAAAAAAUUGUAGACCUCCGCAAGUCUGGUUCAUCCU
rnacentral:lncRNA from 13 species